rnacentral:rRNA from 1 species
UACUCCGUGGCUCGAGGACGAACGCUGGCGGCGUGCCUAAUGCAUGCAAGUCGAGCGGGUCUGUUCCUCGGGGACAGGUUAGCGGCGGACGGGUGAGUAACACGUAGGCAACCUGCCCCUGGGUCUGGGAUAACGUCGGGAAACCGAUGCUAAUACCGGAUAGGUUGGCUCUCGCAUGAGAAGCCAUGGAAAGACGGAGCAAUCUGUCACCGAGGGAUGGGCCUGCGGCGCAUUAGCUAGUUGGUGGGGUAACGGCUCACCAAGGCGACGAUGCGUAGCCGACCUGAGAGGGUGAUCGGCCACACUGGGACUGAGACACGGCCCAGACUCCUACGGGAGGCAGCAGUAGGGAAUCUUCGGCAAUGGGCGAAAGCCUGACCGAGCAACGCCGCGUGAGUGAUGAAGGGUCUCGGCUCGUAAAACUCUGUUGCCAGAGAAGAACGUCCGGUAGAGUAACUGCUACCGGAGUGACGGUAUCUGAGAAGAAAGCCCCGGCUAACUACGUG